rnacentral:rRNA from 1 species
GACGAACGCUGGCGGCGUGCUUAACACAUGCAAGUCGAACGAAGUGGCGAACGGGUGAGUAAUACGUGGGUAACCUGCCCUCCUUUUUGGGAUAAGCCUUGGAAACGGGGUCUAAUACCGAAUAAAGGGGGUUGGGCUCGCGGCCUAUCAGCUUGUUGGUGGGGUGAUGGCCUGCGAAGGCGGUGACGGGUAUGCGGCCUGGGAGGAUGACGGGCGAGAUUGGGACGGGGAAACGGCGCAGGCUGCUACGGGAGGGAGCAGUGGGGGAUGUAGCACUAGGGGAGAAAGCUUGAUGGGGCGACGCCGGGUGGAGGAUGAAGGCUUGGGGGUUGAAAACCUCCGUCGCGAAAGAACGGGUAGGUGGAGAAGAAGCACCGGCUAACUACGUGCCAGCAGCCGCGGUAAUAC